GGAUGCGAUCAUACCAGCACUACAACACCGAAUUCC
rnacentral:rRNA from 1 species